CGACAUUAUGGUUCAUCAACAAUUUACCAAGAUGCAGUCAGCAUUUUAAAAACUUGCUGGAUGGACCCAGCAGGGGAGAAGAAAUAUCUAGAUUUACUUGGAGAUAUAAAAGAUCUUCAAAAAACUGUGGAUGUUCUAUCCAAUGCAGCGCUUCAUUGUGAACUAAGAGUUGAGAGGAAGAUCGGUAUGAAGAUUAUUUAAUACGAC